rnacentral:rRNA from 1 species
GACGAACGCUGGCGGCGUGCUUAACACAUGCAAGUCGAACGGAAAGGCCCUGCUUGCAGGGUACUCGAGUGGCGAACGGGUGAGUAACACGUGGGUGAUCUGCCCUGCACUUCGGGAUAAGCUUGGGAAACUGGGUCUAAUACCGGAUAGGAGCCAUCUUUAGUGUGGUGGUUGGAAAGUUUUUUCGGUGUAGGAUGAGCUCGCGGCCUAUCAGCUUGUUGGUGGGGUAAUGGCCUACCAAGGCGGCGACGGGUAGCCGGCCUGGGAGGGUGUACGGCCACAUUGUGACUGAGAUACGGCCCAGACUCCUACGGGAGGCAGCAGUGGGGAAUAUUGCACAAUGGGCGCAAGCCUGAUGCAGCGACGCCGCGUGGGGGAUGAAGGCCUUCGGGUUGUAAACUCCUUUCGCUAGGGACGAAGCUUUUUUGUGACGGUACCUAGAUAAGAAGCACCGGCUAACUACGUG